UACGUAGGUGGCAAGCGUUGUCCGGAAUUAUUUGGGCGUAAAGAGCUCGUAGGCGGUCUGUCGCGUCGGUCGUGAAAACUUGGGGCUUAACCCUGAGCUUGCGGUCGAUACGGGCAUGACUGGAGUUCGGCAGGGGAGACUGGAAUUCCUGGUGUAGCGGUGAAAUGCGCAGAUAUCAGGAGGAACACCAGUGGCGAAGGCGGAUCUCUGGGCCGAACUA
rnacentral:rRNA from 1 species